CCGGCUACGGAUGGCCAUGCGGCGCAUUAGCUAGUUGGCGGGGUAACGGCCCACCAAGGCGACGAUGCGUAGGGGUUCUGAGAGGAAGGUCCCCCACACUGGUACUGAGACACGGACCAGACUCCUACGGGAGGCAGCAGUGAGGAAUAUUGGUCAAUGGGCGCGAGCCUGAACCAGCCAAGUCGCGUGAGGGAAGACGGUCCUAUGGAUUGUAAACCUCUUUUGUCGGGGAGCAAAAGGCGCCACGUGUGGCGUUCCGAGAGUACCCGAAGAAAAAGCAUCGGCUAACUCCGUGCCAGCAGCCGCGGUAAUACGGAGGAUGCGAGCGUUAUCCGGAUUUAUUGGGUUUAAAGGGUGCGCAGGCGGAAGAUCAAGUCAGCGGUAAAAUUGAGAGGCUCAACCUCUUCGAGCCGUUGAAACUGGUUUUCUUGAGUGAGCGAGAAGUAUGCGGAAUGCGUGGUGUAGCGGUGAAAUGCAUAGAUAUCACGCAGAACUCCGAUUGCGAAGGCAGCAUACCGGCGCUCAACUGACGCUCAUGCACGAAAGUGUGGGUAUCGAACAGGAUUAGAUACCCUGGUAGUCCACACAGUAAACGAUGAAUACUAAUUGUUCGGGGAGAAUGAUCCCUGA
rnacentral:rRNA from 1 species